AGAGUUUGAUCCUGGCUCAGAACGAACGCUUGGCGGCGUGCUUAACACAUGCCAAGUCGAACCGCGAAAAGUUUUCUUCGGAAGACGAGUAGAGUGGCGCACGGGUGAGUAACGCGUAAGUUAUCUACCUCGGCAUCUGGAAUAACUCACCGAAAGGUGUGCUAAUACCGGAUACGUUGAGAAAUCAAGAAAGGUGGCCUCUGAAUAUGCUACCGUGCUGAGAUGAGCUUGCGUACCAUUAGCUAGUUGGUAGGGUAAUGGCCUACCAAGGCGACGAUCCGUAGCUGGUCUGAGAGGAUGAUCAGCCACACUGGGACUGAGACACGGCCCAGACUCCUACGGGAGGCAGCAGUGGGGAAUUUUGGACAAUGGGGGAAACCCUGAUCCAGCCAUGCCGCGUGAGUGAAGAAGGCCUUCGGGUUGUAAAGCUCUUUCGGCCGGAACGAAAUCGGGGGUGUGAAUAGCGCCUCUGGAUGACGGUACCGGAAGAAGAAGCACCGGCUAACUACGUGCCAGCCGCCGCGGUAAUA
rnacentral:rRNA from 1 species